rnacentral:tRNA from 1 species
GGGGUGUUGGUGUAAUGGGUAGCACACAGGCCUAUCAAGCCUGAGGCGCGGGUUCGAUUCCUGCAUACCCCU